rnacentral:RNase_P_RNA from 1 species
UUUGACAAACGCUGCUUAUACUUAUAAGUAGAGGAAAGUCCAUGCUCGCAAAGUCUGUGAUGACUUUAGUGUUCAUGUAUAGGGAAAAAAUAACCUAUAGUAGUCUUUGACUAACGGCUCCGAUGAACCUACGUCUUUAAGAUAGGGUUCUAGGUGUAAAAGUGCCAUAGUGACGAUGCUUAUCGAAAGAUAAGAGUGGAACGCGGUAAACCCCAUGAGCGAGAAACCCAAAUUUGGUAGGGGAACCUAAGUAACAAGAAUUAAGAAUUGGUACUGGGAUCGGUAACGAUAGAUAAAUGUUUGUCACCUAGAGAUAGGUACAGAACAUGGCUUAUAA